rnacentral:lncRNA from 1 species
CGCCCCUCCCUGCAGCCUCCGCUGCCCUCCGGCUCUGCGCCGCGACCCCUGCGGCUGCGGGAGGCUGCGGUAUUCCACCCCAGGCAAGGGGUGCAAACCGGGAUGCAUUUGGGGACUAGGAGCCCUUACGCCUCCUUGUGUUCGCCCCUCACUUGCCCCCAAGUUCACCCCCAGGAAUUAACUACACCCCAGUUUAUGGAGCUCCCCAGUGGGUUCACAUUUCCCUGCUCACUUUAUUUCCAUUGGCCCUGGAAGAUGUGCCACAGGGAGUUCAGGGAUCAGCCGCAUGGACUCCCUGUUCCUGUUCCCCAUCUGUCUUCUCCCCCUCCCUGGGAAACAGGUGUGUCUGAGCCUGGGCUGGAAGCAGACCCUGAGUGCUGGAUGAAGGGCCUUGGAGUUAUUGAAGUUGAAGGCGAAAAUAGAACUCCAUGAGGUGGCAGGCAUUGGUCUGAGCAAGAGAGAGAGUUCAAGCCUGCUUUUACUCUUUCAUGCCUACUGGUUGGCUGGACUGGCCCCUCCAGGGACUCUCUGGAGAUUUCUCUGGAGCUCUUCAGCUGGAGAGGUUACCCACUGUCAUAAGAAAUGAAGGUAUCAUGUAUGUAUAAUAUGUCAAAAUACCCUCUACUGUCAUGUAUAUCUAAAAAAUAAAACAAAAUAAAAAAGAAAAAAUAGUUCA